UGACAGGGAUAUAUAACAUCUCAACAGU
rnacentral:piRNA from 1 species